UACGAAGGGGGCUAGCGUUGCUCGGAAUCACUGGGCGUAAAGCGCACGUAGGCGGACUCUUAAGUCGGGGGUGAAAUCCUGAAGCUCAACUCCAGAACUGCCUUCGAUACUGGGAGUCUUGAGUUCGGGAGAGGUGAGUGGAACUGCGAGUGUAGAGGUGAAAUUCGUAGAUAUUCGCAAGAACACCAGUGGCGAAGGCGGCUCACUGGCCCGAUACUGACGCUGAGGUGCGAAAGCGUGGGGAGCAAACAGG
rnacentral:rRNA from 1 species